CUGGCAACAUAUCUACAAGCUAAUCAACAAAAAUCAAGUGCCUGCUACUAAAUUUGCAGGGUCUGCAGGAUUUUUCCCUCUAAAUAUCCUGGCCCGAAGUUUUAAUGUAACUGCUUAUUAGUCAAAACAAUGAGAGGAGCUUUAAGGAACUGGAGGCAAUGCACAGAGGGCCCUGUGAGCACACUGACAGUUAAGUGAAGCCAUGUGAAAGGGGAACAUUUAAAAGACUCUACAGGACUCACAUACCAAAAUGAAGUUGCCAUGGAUACAGGUGUUAUGUAUACAUAUCCAUCUUUAUCGAAAAACACUGUAGAGGCUGAACUUAACCCAAGGCUGAGUGUAAGGCUUGGGUGAGAGAAAGGUUGUUGUGCAGAGCAGUGAGGAUGGAAGUAAAACGAUCUCUUCUUGGGUGAGAGGUAUUGGUGGACCAGAAAACAAAAGCAAAACAAUAUAGCAGUUGAGCCAAGAUCAUGCACAAACAGAAGAUAACACCUUCACCACAGAACCUGAACGUGUACAAUAAAAUACCCCACCAUGACAGAAGUAACAGGGGAAAAUAGAAAAGGUUGUUUCUUUGGCUCAUUGAAAUUAGGGUUAAAAAUCCUAGUAGUUUCACUGGAGCCAUAUGUUUUAUCCUUUUUUUUUGUAAAUACUUUUAAUCACCUGAUUAAUGCCAGAAUUUCUGACAAAUGCACGUGACCAGAGAAUAUCUUUUACUGAGCAAAGUUUUCUUCCCUUCUUUUUUUUUUCUAAUUUCUUUUUCAUAAACACAAUUGUCAUUGAAAUAGGUGAUUGUAGAGCUGUCCUUGUCUGCUGAUAGGAUCGCAGAGGAGCUGAGGAGGUACCCCCUACUGGGGGUAGGUGCCAGUUUCCAGGAGAUCAUUUUUUGCUCUGUAAAUAGCAAGAAGGUGCAUCUCCUGCCACAGGCCAGAGCUUUUGGUAUUUCUUCACAGGAGGGCUAAGAAUAGAUCCUUAUAUACAUGACCAACAAAGUUUUGAAUAGAAAUUUCAAACUACAAAAAGUGUUGUAUAGUUUCGAAGCCAUCAGUCAAUGAUAAAAAUUCCAGUGGUAAGUGCAUUUGAAAUGUCUGGGACAUGAAGAGCUGUUAUAGUUAUGGGUUAUUUAAGAAACCUCACGGUAAUGUUUUGGGCUCUGCCAAGCACAGUCAUGUGGCAGGAUUUCAGGAGGACAUGAAAAUCUACUUGUUUGGUCCAUUUGGCCAUCCCCUUCUCUUCUGGUGAAGUAUUCAUGCAAAACACUUUGUGAGUUUCCACAUUUUUCUCUCUUCCACUAGACUCACCACAAGGCCACACAUCCUGAAAUGACCAAAGAAGAGCAUUGCAGCUGUUUCCUUACUGCAUACAGAAUGUUUUUGCAGGUAUUGACCCUGUGCUGAGUUGAGAAAUGUGUCUAGACCAGGUUCAUCAAUUUGGAGCAACCGUUUAGGAGGCCAUUGCUCCCAAAGAUACCUCCAGGUCCCAGGGACAUGACACUCCCAGGGGACCUCAGUGGACUCCAGCAGUCUCUCCUGCUCAACUUGCUGAGUGAAAAUGAGUGAACAGAGGUAGUGGAAACCAGAUGGUCAGAAACAUACUAAAGGCUCUCAUGAAGGGAAUUUAAUUGAGAGGGAAGGAUUUGUCACCUUUCACUUCUCCCUAUCAGGGCUUCUGAAAUUUGGCAGAGCUCGUCAUGGAUCUGAAGUCUAUUUCUACUAAAUAAAUUAGUGAAUCAGUGGCUAACACUAGAACUAAGUCAGCAUGAGAUUACAAUGCAUGCAAAUUGCUGCCACUGCAAUGAUAUGUGCGAUUAAAACAGGUAUGCAGAGUAUUUACAGGACUGAUGGAAGCAUUUGUGCCACUUAUUUUGUGUUUAAUGAUCAAGUAGAGGGCAAAAGUAGCAUCGUGUUCCAUGACAUGAUGU